GGAUGUGAAGGUGAUCUGGCUGUAACAUCUGUCACCCCAUUGAUUGCCAGGUUUGAUUCGCUGAUCUGGCUGGCGAGGCAGGCGACCCCUUCCUCUCUCACUGCUCCAUGUGCAUCCCUCUUGAAGCAGCACUCUCAUUUUGAGAGGACAACCUUCCAUGAAUAAAGGAGGGCUGGUCUUUGUCAAGGGUAUAUAAGUAGCUGUGCUCCCCUGCUAGAACCUCCAAACAAGCUCUCAAAAAGGUAAUUGAUGAGUAAAACAAAUCAUCAAUAAAAUUUGAGAAAAUAAGAACUGAGGAAAUAAAGCAAAGUUGACCUAUGCUGGCCAGAGUUCAGUCU
rnacentral:snRNA from 1 species